GUGCUUGCUUUGGCAGCAUAUAUAAAAAAAUUGGAAUGAUGCAGAUAAGAUUAGUGUGGUCUCUGCACCAGGAAGCCACACAUAUUCAUGAAAUGUUCCAUAUUUUU